GACGAACGCUGGCGGCGUGCCUAAUACAUGCAAGUAGAACGCACAGUUUAUACCGUAGCUUGCUACACCAUAGACUGUGAGUUGCGAACGGGUGAGUAACGCGUAGGUAACCUGCCUGGUAGCGGGGGAUAACUAUUGGAAACGAUAGCUAAUACCGCAUAAUAUUAAUUAUUGCAUGAUAAUUAAUUGAAAGGUGCAAUUGCACCACUACCAGAUGGACCUGCGUUGUAUUAGCUAGUAGGUGAGGUAACGGCUCACCUAGGCGACGAUACAUAGCCGACCUGAGUGGGUGGUCGGCCACACUGGGACUGAGACACGGCCCAGACUCCUACGGGAGGCAGCAGUAGGGCAUCUUCGGCAAUGGACGAAAGUCUGACCGAGCAACGCCGCGUGAGUGAAGAAGGUUUUCGGAUCGUAAAGCUCUGUUGUAAGAGAAGAACGGGUGUGAGAGUGGAAAGUUCACACUGUGACGGUAUCUUACCAGAAAGGGACGGCUAACUACGUG
rnacentral:rRNA from 1 species